rnacentral:lncRNA from 1 species
AACAAACGAAGGCAUGCCCUCCGUUUGGGGGGAUCCACCUUCACCCACGAUUUGAGGUUUUCAUCAACAUGGGGUUCAGGAUAGUUUGCGUUGUUCUUCAAGAGAAGGCUGAGCUGUUCCACUUUUUCUUGCAGACGGCCCAGGGACGGAGAGCGGAUUUCUGGGGUGGCAUCCGGGCGGGCGCGCCUAGCCCCACGUUAGCUUUUGGAGAAGGGAAUGGCAAUCCACUCCAGUAUUCUUGCCUGGAGAAUUCCAUGGACGGAGAAGCCUGGCCUUCUACAGUUCAAGCGGUCGCAAAGAGUCGGUCACGACUGAGUGACUAACAGUCCGGACCUCAGAGACUAGCUCCGCGCCGGAGAGAGCCCCGCCCCCACAGGCCCCGCCCCCGGUCGCACGCAGCCCCGCCCCAGGCGCGGGGCGUGCCGGGACGAUGCGACCCGCUAACACCUCAAGGAAGGCUGUUGCGGACGCCGCGGGAGCGGAAGCCAUGGCUGCGUUAGGCCUCGCUUCGUUGCUGGGCCGCGUCCCGGCUACAGCGUGGAGAGCGGCAAGUCCUCGAUGGGCUUCCUGGAAUAUUGGUGUGUUUAUUUGCAUCAGAUGUGCUGGCAUCCAUAGGAAUCUUGGGGUUCAUAUAUCCAGGGUCAAGUCAGUCAACCUAGACCAGUGGACACCAGAACAGAUCCAGUGCAUGCAAGAUAUGGGAAAUACUAAAGCAAGACUACUAUAUGAAGCCAAUCUUCCAGAGAACUUUCGAAGACCACAGACAGAUCAAGCAGUGGAAUUUUUCAUCAGAGAUAAAUACGAAAAGAAGAAAUACUACGAUAAAAAUGCUAUAGCUAUUACAAAUGUUGCCUCCUCUGAUGCUCCUCUUCAGCCUUUGGUAUCCUCUCCUUCUCUACAAGCUGCUGUUGAGAAAAACAAAUUGGAGCUGCAGAAGAAAGAAGAUCAGCAAUUGGAACCUAAAAAAAGUACCAGCCCUAAAAAAGCUGCAGAGCCCACUGUUGAUCUUUUAGGACUUGAUGGGCCUGCUGAGGUGCCGGUGACCAAUGGGAGCGCAGUCGUGGGGCCAGCCCUGAACGAUGACCUGGACAUCUUUGGACCGAUGAUCUCUAACCCAUUACCUGCAACUGUCAUGCCCCCGGCUCAGGGGCCGUCCUCUGCACCAGCAGCUGCCACUCUGUCUGCAGUGACGUCUGGGGACCUGGAUCUGUUCACUGAGCAAGCUGCAAAGUCAGAAGAGGUGGCCAAGAAGCAGCUCUCCAAAGACUCCAUCUUGUCUCUGUAUGGCACCGGGGCCAUCCAGCAGCAGGGUGCUCCUGGUGUGUUUAUGGGACCCACGAAUCUACCAUUUACCUCACAAGCACCGGCUGCAUUUCCAGGCUUCCCGUCCAUGGGCGUGCCUGUGCCCGCGGCUCCCGGCCUGGUGGGCAGCUCGCUGGGGCCGAGCGCGGGCAUGAUGGUGGGCAUGCCAGUGCCCAAUGGCUUCAUGGGCAGCGCACAGACUGCUGUGAUGCCGCUGGCGCAGGGCGUGGUCGGGCCCCCAGGGAUGGUCGCUCACUUGGGCGCAGCCCAGGGGAAGUUUGGCCUGCAGCCAGCUCCGCAGAGCCCAUGGAACCUCCCCCAGGUGAACCAGCAGAUGGCUGGCCUGAGCCUGGGUGGCGCAGCCUCAGCGGCGGGCUUCGGGCAGCCGCCCAGCACCUCAGCGGGGGCCGCGGGCUGGUCCGGGGGCUCGUCGGGGCAGACGCUCAGCACGCAGCUGUGGAAGUGACCGCCCCGCUGGCAUUCCUGCUCAGACACACCCAGUUCCCCUGUCCAUUCAUGUACAUACAUGUUUUUUUCUUUUCCCCCAUUUGUUCAUAUUAAGAGUUACCUGAUUGACCGUGUUGGUCUUUACUGAUUGAAUUUGCUGUGGUGAAAAGCAGGUUGAGAAACCGUUCCAUGUCGAGGGCAGCUUUGCUCACAAUUCCCAGGAUUUCGCAGACACAGUCUCUGGGAAGCUGCUCAGUCAACGUGCAUAAUCAGUUUCCCUCUCGAUGAAAUUAUAGCUCUCAUGUUUGCAUAUAAGGGAAGUAGUUAUCAUGUUAGUAAUACCUCUAACAGUAUGAGCCCCACCCCCAGAUUAGCCAGUAAUCCUGUAGGAAGGUACUGUAUGAUCAAAUGUUUAAUCAU